GACGAACGCUGGCGGCGUGCUUAACACAUGCAAGUCGAACGGAAAGGCCCUGCUUUUGUGGGGUGCUCGAGUGGCGAACGGGUGAGUAACACGUGAGUAACCUGCCCUUGACUUUGGGAUAACUUCAGGAAACUGGGGCUAAUACCGGAUAGGAGCUCCUGCUGCAUGGUGGGGGUUGGAAAGUUUCGGCGGUUGGGGAUGGACUCGCGGCUUAUCAGCUUGUUGGUGGGGUAGUGGCUUACCAAGGCUUUGACGGGUAGCCGGCCUGAGAGGGUGACCGGCCACAUUGGGACUGAGAUACGGCCCAGACUCCUACGGGAGGCAGCAGUGGGGAAUAUUGCACAAUGGGCGGAAGCCUGAUGCAGCAACGCCGCGUGCGGGAUGACGGCCUUCGGGUUGUAAACCGCUUUCGCCUGUGACGAAGCGUGAGUGACGGUAAUGGGUAAAGAAGCACCGGCUAACUACGUGCCAGCAGCCGCGGUGAUACGUAGGGUGCGAGCGUUGUCCGGAUUUAUUGGGCGUAAAGGGCUCGUAGGUGGUUGAUCGCGUCGGAAGUGUAAUCUUGGGGCUUAACCCUGAGCGUGCUUUCGAUACGGGUUGACUUGAGGAAGGUAGGGGAGAAUGGAACUCCUGGUGGAGCGGUGGAAUGCGCAGAUAUCAGGAGGAACACCAGUGGCGAAGGCGGUUCUCUGGGCCUUUCCUGACGCUGAGGAGCGAAAGCGUGGGGAGCGAACAGGCUUAGAUACCCUGGUAGUCCACGCUGUAAACGGUGGGUACUAGGUGUGGGGUCCAUUCCACGGGUUCCGUGCCGUAGCUAACGCUUUAAGUACCCCGCCUGGGGAGUACGGCCGCAAGGCUAAAACUCAAAGGAAUUGACGGGGCCCCGCACAAGCGGCGGAGCAUGCGGAUUAAUUCGAUGCAACGCGUAGAACCUUACCUGGGUUUGACAUGGAUCGGGAGUGCUCAGAGAUGGGUGUGCCUCUUUUGGGGUCGGUUCACAGGUGGUGCAUGGCUGUCGUCAGCUCGUGUCGUGAGAUGUUGGGUUAAGUCCCGCAACGAGCGCAACCCUUGUUCACUGUUGCCAGCACGUUAUGGUGGGGACUCAGUGGAGACCGCCGGGGUCAACUCGGAGGAAGGUGGGGAUGACGUCAAGUCAUCAUGCCCCUUAUGUCCAGGGCUUCACGCAUGCUACAAUGGCUGGUACAGAGAGUGGCGAGCCUGUGAGGGUGAGCGAAUCUCGGAAAGCCGGUCUCAGUUCGGAUUGGGGUCUGCAACACGACCUCAUGAAGUCGGAGUCGCUAGUAAUCGCAGAUCAGCAACGCUGCGGUGAAUACGUUCCCGGG
rnacentral:rRNA from 1 species